AUUGAACGCUGGCGGCAGGCCUAACACAUGCAAGUCGCACGAGUGGCGGACGGGUGAGUAAUGUCUGGGAAACUGCCUGAUGGAGGGGGAUAACUACUGGAAACGGUAGCUAAUACCGCAUACCAUCAGAUGUGCCCAGAUGGGAUUCGCUAGGUGGUGGGGUAACGGCUAACAAAGGAGACGAUCCCUCGCUGGUCUGAGAGGAGGACCAGCCACACUCGAACUGAGACACGGUCCAGACUCCUACGGUAGGCAGCAGUGGGGAAUAUUGCACAAUGGGCGCAAUCCUGAUGCAGCCAUGCAGCGUGUAUGAAGAAGGCCUUCGGGUUGUAAAGUACUUUCAGCGGGGAGGCGUUACCCGCAGAAGAAGCACCGGCUAACUCCGUGCCAGCAGCCGCGGUAAUUC
rnacentral:rRNA from 1 species